UGAUAGCAUAUGGUUUGGCGGCAAUUGAAAAUAAGCUUAAGAAAGGGUUUACUAGACUAUUAACAAUGAGUUGCUCUCCAUUCUGAUACAGCACCCUAUCUAUAGUGACUGUCUACGUUUUGCCAGGGAGUGUUACUAGGUGAACAAGAAAUAGCAGAGAAAACAACUUUCAAAAUCCAAUGCUCAAGGGCUUGAGGAAUUCAAUGCAUUGCUUAAUUAUUUCAUUGAUUUUAAUUUUAUUAGAUUAGUUGAUAGAGUAGAUGUUAGUUAAUUUUAUUUUUAUGCAGUGUUUGAUGGGGUGCCUAGCCUAGCGGCCAUGCACAAGGUGCACAGCUACUAACCAUCUGGAACAAAAGGCUGCUAUGGCUUCUCAAAUUCUAUCCACAACUCCCUCCCUUUCUUUUCUCCUGCGCAUUUUACUAUCUAUACAUUAUGUAUAACACUAGUCCACUCUUGAGCUUCUUUCUUGUCCUUGGAAAACAGGAAACAAAGCUUAUACCCUUUCUGCUCUAUGGGCUGCAGAAUUGAAGAUUCUGUUUUCCUCUUCAUGGCAUCAUUAUUUCUCCUUGUCUCAGCGUGUGUGAAAAGUUAUCCUUUUCUUCUUCAUUUUUUUUCCUUUUUUAUGAAUUUCAUUAGUGUUUAUUUGGUUUAAUUCUCAGAACCCCAACCAAGGCCAAUCCAGAGUCUUUUAGUACCUAUUACUCCCCAUUACUCUUAGGUACGUUUAUUUCUCAAUCUAUGCAACUUGGUUGGAACUUUAAUGGCAGUUGGAGUUGCUUGAUUCUCUAUUGCAUGGUAAGUUCAUCACAUCAAUUUAGA
rnacentral:misc_RNA from 1 species